CCAGACUCCUACGGGAGGCAGCAGUGGGGAAUAUUGCACAAUGGGGGAAACCCUGAUGCAGCGACGCCGCGUGAGUGAAGAAGUAUUUCGGUAUGUAAAGCUCUAUCAGCAGGGAAGAAAAAAGACGGUACCUGACUAAGAAGCCCCGGCUAACUACGUGCCAGCAGCCGCGGUAAUACGUAGGGGGCAAGCGUUAUCCGGAUUUACUGGGUGUAAAGGGAGCGUAGACGGUGCGUCAAGUCUGAAGUGAAAGCCCGGGGCUUAACCCCGGGACUGCUUUGGAAACUGGCGCGCUAGAGUGCUGGAGAGGUAAGUGGAAUUCCUAGUGUAGCGGUGAAAUGCGUAGAUAUUAGGAGGAACACCAGUGGCGAAGGCGGCUUACUGGACAGUAACUGACGUUGAGGCUCGAAAGCGUGGGGAGCAAACAGGAUUAGAUACCCGUGUAAC
rnacentral:rRNA from 1 species